rnacentral:misc_RNA from 1 species
GUUCGAGCGCCAUUUCUACCCUGGAGCCUUGCUCUGUGAUGGGCCCCGUCCUUGCGGACGGGCCCGAAACCCGUGGGCGCCGUUGUCCGGUCCUGAGCGUAGCAAGAGAAAUCCCUCGCUUGGAGCAUCUGACAGUGGCCGCCCCGAUCCAUUUUUACAAGGUUGGCCUCGGAUCAGGUGGGGAUACCCGCUGAACUUAA